rnacentral:lncRNA from 1 species
CAGGUGGACAUGCACAGGUUUUGAAAUUCAAAUUGAUCAGUUCUGUUACAUUCUCAUUUGUUUCCCCAUAACAGGGUUUAUGGACUUCUUUAAGACAGGGUUUUAUUUAGCAGUAUAAUGAAAAGAAUUAAGGGAACACAUGACUCUAAUUGAUUCCCUGUUUGUGUAUAGAAUCUUUAAUUCAUGAAAAUGUAAAAAUAUUCAUUAACAUUUUAAAACAAACUCCUGUUAGAUACAAACUGUGAGUGUGACUGCACUCUCUAGAUUCCAGGGCGAAGCCUGUAAAUUAUUACAGAGUAGGGCAUCUGAGAUCUUAGAACAGCAAACCUAUUGCUUCCGGGUUGAUGACAUCAUUUACGAAUGAUGAGAAGAUGAAGUCCAAAGUACACAUAUUGGCUUGCUUGAAUAUCUACUAAUAGUCUUAUUUGGAAAGUUGUACACCUGUAUAACAUUGCAUCUCCAUUUUAAAUGUAUAUAAUUUU